UCUCGAUUGGUCUAGUGGUAAGGAUACCUGCUUGUCAUCAUAUGGCAAUUCGCAGGUGGCCGGGGUUCGAUUCCCCGAUCGAGAG
rnacentral:tRNA from 1 species